UUAACCUAGCGGCGGACGGGUGAGUAAUGCUUAGGAAUCUGCCUAUUAGUGGGGGACAACAUCUCGAAAGGGAUGCUAAUACCGCAUACGUCCUACGGGAGAAAGCAGGGGACCUUCGGGCCUUGCGCUAAUAGAUGAGCCUAAGUCGGAUUAGCUAGUUGGUGGGGUAAAGGCCUACCAAGGCGACGAUCUGUAGCGGGUCUGAGAGGAUGAUCCGCCACACUGGGACUGAGACACGGCCCAGACUCCUACGGGAGGCAGCAGUGGGGAAUAUUGGACAAUGGGGGGAACCCUGAUCCAGCCAUGCCGCGUGUGUGAAGAAGGCCUUUUGGUUGUAAAGCACUUUAAGCGAGGAGGAGGCUACCGAGAUUAAUACUCUUGGAUAGUGGACGUUACUCGCAGAAUAAGCACCGGCUAACUCUGUGCCAGCAGCCGCGGUAAUACAGAGGGUGCAAGCGUUAAUCGGAUUUACUGGGCGUAAAGCGCGCGUAGGUGGCCAAUUAAGUCAAAUGUGAAAUCCCCGAGCUUAACUUGGGAAUUGCAUUCGAUACUGGUUGGCUAGAGUAUGGGAGAGGAUGGUAGAAUUCCAGGUGUAGCGGUGAAAUGCGUAGAGAUCUGGAGGAAUACCGAUGGCGAAGGCAGCCAUCUGGCCUAAUACUGACACUGAGGUGCGAAAGCAUGGGGAGCAAACAGGAUUAGAUACCCUGGUAGUCCAUGCCGUAAACGAUGUCUACUAGCCGUUGGGGCCUUUGAGGCUUUAGUGGCGCAGCUAACGCGAUAAGUAGACCGCCUGGGGAGUAC
rnacentral:rRNA from 1 species